GUGUGGAAGAAUCUGUUAAGCUCAGGAGGGAUAGCGCCAUUCUCGGUUUGGUUUAACCACAUAUAGCGCUAUCCAUCCUGAGUUUCAUGGCUUCUUCUUACAC